AGUGGCGGACGGGUGAGUAACGCGUAAGAAUCUAACUUCAGGACGGGGACAACAGUUGGAAACGACUGCUAAUACCCGAUGUGCCGCAAGGUGAAACCUAAUUGGCCUGAAGAAGAGCUUGCGUCUGAUUAGCUAGUUGGUGGGGUAAGAGCCUACCAAGGCGACGAUCAGUAGCUGGUCUGAGAGGAUGAGCAGCCACACUGGGACUGAGACACGGCCCAGACUCCUACGGGAGGCAGCAGUGGGGAAUUUUCCGCAAUGGGCGAAAGCCUGACGGAGCAACGCCGCGUGAGGGAGGAAGGUCUUUGGAUUGUAAACCUCUUUUCUCAAGGAAGAAGUUCUGACGGUACUUGAGGAAUCAGCCUCGGCUAACUCCGUGCCAGCAGCCGCGGUAAUACGGGGGAGGCAAGCGUUAUCCGGAAUUAUUGGGCGUAAAGCGUCCGCAGGUGGUCAGCCAAGUCUGCUGUCAAAUCAGGUUGCUUAACGACCUAAAGGCGGUGGAAACUGGCAGACUAGAGAGCAGUAGGGGUAGCAGGAAUUCCCAGUGUAGCGGUGAAAUGCGUAGAGAUUGGGAAGAACAUCGGUGGCGAAAGCGUGCUACUGGGCUGUAUCUGACACUCAGGGACGAAAGCUAGGGGAGCGAAAGGGAUUAGAUACCCCUGUAGUCCUAGCCGUAAACGAUGGAUACUAGGCGUGGCUU
rnacentral:rRNA from 1 species